AGACACCGAUUCUCUUUCGAUCACAGAAGUUAAACAACGUUCAGUCUGGUCAGUAAUUAGAUGGAUGACCGCUUGGAAAUACCAGGUGGUGUA